CCGCUGGAGCCGUGAGCCGUACCUUUUGGAGAUGGCAACACAAAUACUGGAAACCCAAGCGGAUGGGAAUUGCCCCGUUCUUCCAGGCCUUUGUCGACGGAAUGGUGUUCUUCUAUGCCAUCAACUGCGGCAAACGGAAGCAUCACAGCAGGAACUACAA
rnacentral:lncRNA from 1 species